rnacentral:rRNA from 1 species
AAUUUUGGACAAUGGGGGAAACCCUGAUCCAGCCAUCCCGCGUGUUUGAUGAAUGCCUUCGGGAGGUAAAGUACUUUUGGCAGAGAAGAAAAGGCAUCCCCUAAUACGGGAUGCUGCUGACGGUAUCUGCAGAAUAAGCACCGGCUAACUACGUGCCAGCAGCCGCGGUAAUACGUAGGGUGCAAGCGUUAAUCGGAAUUAGUGGGCGUAAAGCGUGUGUAGGCGGUUCGGAAAGAAAGAUGUGAAAUCCCAGAGCUCAACCUUGGAACUGCAUUUUUAACUACCGAACUAGAGUAUGUCAGAGGGGGGUAGAAUUCCGCGUGUAGCAGUGGAAUGCGUAGAUAUGCGGAGGAAUACCGAUGGCGAAGGCAGCCCCCUGGGAUAAUACUGACGCUCAUGCACGAAAGCGUGGGUAGCAAACAGG